AUGAUUUCUUUUUCAGGGCAUAGUUUUGGAGCAAGCUCACACUAUUUUUUUGUUGAUGUGAUUAUUAGGUUCAGGCUAUUUGUUCUACAUCAUCAUUGGUUUGAUUUUUAUUGGUCUGCCUUACUUCUUGUUGUAGUACCUCCAAACAGAGUUUUAGUGUCUCUAUGUUUGCAUUCAGGGUCAAUCAAAACAGUAAAAAUUCAUAGGCCCGUGAAGUUUCUCUCAAUUCUUCUUUUUUGGUAUCUGGACCUUUUUUUGUCCCUUCACACAUCUGAAGAACUCGACAUGUACCACGAGACGGGCGGCCACGUUGUUCUCCAGUUGUGA
rnacentral:rRNA from 1 species